rnacentral:rRNA from 1 species
UAAUACGAAGGGACCUAGCGUAGUUCGGAAUUACUGGGCUUAAAGAGCUCGUAGGUGGUUAAAAAAGUUGAUGGUGAAAUCCCAAGGCUUAACCUUGGAACUGCCAUCAAAACUUUUUAGCUAGAGUGUGAUAGAGGUAAGUGGAAUUUCUAGUGUAGAGGUGAAAUUCGUAGAUAUUAGAAAGAACAUCAAAUGCGAAGGCAACUUACUGGGUCACUACUGACACUGAGGAGCGAAAGCAUGGGUAGCGAAGAGGAUUAGAUACCCUCGUAGUCCAUGCCGUAAACGAUGUGUGCUAGACGUUGGAAAUAUAUUUUUCAGUGUCGCAGCGAAAGCAUUAAGCACACCGCCUGGGGAGUACGACCGCAAGGUUAAAACUCAAAUGAAUUGACGGGGACCCGCACAAGCAGUGGAGCAUGUGGUUUAAUUCGAAGAUACGCGCAGAACCUUACCAACGCUUGACAUGUUCGUCGCGAGACUAAGAGAUUAGUCUCUUCAGUUCGGCUGGACGAAACACAGGUGCUGCAUGGCUGUCGUCAGCUCGUGUCGUGAGAUGUUGGGUUAAGUCCCGCAACGAGCGCAACCCUCACUUUUAGUUGCCAUCAUUAAGUUGGGCACUCUGAAAGAACUGCCAGUGAUAAGCUGGAGGAAGGUGGGGAUGACGUCAAGUCCUCAUGGCCCUUACGUGUUGGGCUACACACGUGCUACAAUGGUAUCUACAACAGGAAGCAAGACGGCGACGUCAAGCAAAUCCUUAAAAGAUACCUCAGUUCGGAUUGCACUCUGCAACUCGAGUGCAUGAAGCUGGAAUUACUAGUAAUCGUGGAUCAGCGUGCCACGGUGAAUGCGUUCCCGGGUCUUGUACACACCGCCCGUCACACCAUGGGAGUUGGUUCUACCUUAAGGCAAGGUUUAAUAUCCUUGACCACGGUAUAGUCAGCGACUGGGGUGAAGUCGUAACAAGGUAGCCG